rnacentral:rRNA from 1 species
AUACGGAGGGUGCAAGCGUUAAUCGGAAUUACUGGGCGUAAAGCGUACGUAGGCGGUCCGUUAAGUUAGAUGUGAAAGCCCCGGGCUUAACCUGGGAACUGCAUUUAAAACUGGCGAACUAGAGUUGAGUAGAGGGGAGUGGAAUUUCAGGUGUAGCGGUGAAAUGCGUAGAGAUCUGAAGGAACACCAGUGGCGAAGGCGGCUCCCUGGACUCAAACUGACGCUGAGGUACGAAAGCGUGGGUAGCAAACGGGAUUAGAAACCCGAGUAGUCC